rnacentral:rRNA from 1 species
UACAGAGGGUGCAAGCGUUAAUCGGAAUUACUGGGCGUAAAGCGCGCGUAGGUGGUUUGUUAAGUUGGAUGUGAAAUCCCCGGGCUCAACCUGGGAACUGCAUCCAAAACUGGCAAGCUAGAGUAUGGUAGAGGGUGGUGGAAUUUCCUGUGUAGCGGUGAAAUGCGUAGAUAUAGGAAGGAACACCAGUGGCGAAGGCGACCACCUGGACUGAUACUGACACUGGAGGUGACGAAGGCAGUGGGGAGUCAAAC